UGUGUAGGAUCCUUUAGGGUUAAAGUAGUGGGAUGGUGUAGGAUCCUUUAGGGUUAAAGUAGUGGGAUGGUGUUGGAUCCUUUAGGGUUAAAGUAGUGGGAUGGUGUUGGAUCCUUUAGGGUUAAAGUAGUGGGAUGGUGUAGGAUCCUUUAGGGUUAAAGUAGUGGGAUGGUGUUGGAUCCUUUAGGGUUAAAGUAGUGGGAUGGUGUAGGAUCCUUUAGGGUUAAAGUAGUGGGCUGGGAUGGUGUAGGAUCCUUUAGGGUUAAAGUAGUGGGAUGGUGUAGGAUCCUUUAGGGUUAAAGUAGUGGGAUGGUGUAGGAUCCUUUAGGGUUAAAGUAGUGGG
ensembl:lncRNA